rnacentral:rRNA from 1 species
CAGCAGCCACGGGAAUACGUAGGGUGCGAGCGUUAAUCGGAAUUACUGGGCGUAAAGCGUGCGCAGGCGGUUGUGUAAGACAGGUGUGAAAUCCCCGGGCUUAACCUGGGAACUGCGCUUGUGACUGCACAGCUAGAGUAUGGCAGAGGGGGGUGGAAUUCCACGUGUAGCAGUGAAAUGCGUAGAGAUGUGGAGGAACACCGAUGGCGAAGGCAGCCCCCUGGGCCAAUACUGACGCUCAUGCACGAAAGCGAGGGGAGCAAACAGGAUUAGAUACCCCGGUAGUCCCUGUCUCUUAUAC